UAAGGAAUAUUGGUCAAUGGACGAAAGUCUGAACCAGCCAUGCCGCGUGGAGGAUGAAGGCCCUCUGGGUUGUAAACUUCUUUUAUAUGGGACGAAAAAGGGUCUUUCUAGAUCAACUGACGGUACCAUUUGAAUAAGCACCGGCUAACUCCGUGCCAGCAGCCGCGGUAAUACGGAGGGUGCAAGCGUUAUCCGGAUUCACUGGGUUUAAAGGGUGCGUAGGUGGGUUGGUAAGUCAGUGGUGAAAUCUCCAAGCUUAACUUGGAAACUGCCAUUGAUACUAUCAGUCUUGAAUAUUGUGGAGGUUAGCGGAAUAUGUCAUGUAGCGGUGAAAUGCUUAGAUAUGACAUAGAACACCAAUUGCGAAGGCAGCUGGCUACACAUAUAUUGACACUGAGGCACGAAAGCGUGGGGAUCAAACAGG
rnacentral:rRNA from 1 species